rnacentral:tRNA from 1 species
CCCUUCGGUCGCGGAACAGCGACGGAUGCACCAGGGGAUCCGGCCGGUGCGGGAGAGUCAGCGCGAAGCAGC